CCUACGGGCGGCUGCAGUGGGGAAUAUUGCACAAUGGGGGAAACCCUGAUGCAGCGACGCCGCGUGAGUGAAGAAGUAUUUCGGUAUGUAAAGCUCUAUCAGCAGGGAAGAAAAUGACGGUACCUGAUUAAGAAGCCACGGCUAACUACGUGCCAGCAGCCGAGGUAAUACGUAGGGGGCAAGCGUUAUCCGGAUUUACUGGGUGGAAAGGGAGCGUAGACGGCAGCACAAGUCUGGAGUGAAAUGCCGGGGCUUAACCCCGGAACUGCUUUGGAAACUGUGCAGCGAGAGUGCAGGAGAGGUAAGUGGAAUUCCAAGUGUAGCGGUGAAAUGCGUAGAUAUUAGGAGGAACACCAGUGGCGAAGGCGGCUUACUGGACUGUAACUGACGUUGAGGCUCGAAAGCGUGGGGAGCAAACAGGAUUAGAUACCCUUGUAGUC
rnacentral:rRNA from 1 species